rnacentral:rRNA from 1 species
CGGGGAAUAUUGGACAAUGGGCGAAAGCCUGAUCCAGCCAUGCCGCGUGUGUGAAGAAGGUCUUCGGAUUGUAAAGCACUUUAAGUUGGGAGGAAGGGCAUUCACCUAAUACGUUAGUGUUUUGACGUUACCGACAGAAUAAGCACCAGCUAACUCUGUGCCAGCAGCCGCGGGAAUACAGAGGGUGCAAGCGUUAAUCGGAAUUACUGGGCGUAAAGCGCGCGUAGGUGGUUUGUUAAGUUGGAUGUGAAAUCCCCGGGCUCAACCUGGGAACUGCAUUCAAAACUGACUGACUAGAGUAUGGUAGAGGGUGGUGGAAUUUCCUGUGUAGCGGUGAAAUGCGUAGAUAUAGGAAGGAACACCAGUGGCGAAGGCGACCACCUGGACUAAUACUGACACUGAGGUGCGAAAGCGUGGGGAGCAAACA